CAGUCGCCACGGUAAUACGUAGGUCCCGAGCGUUGUCCGGAUUUAUUGGGCGUAAAGCGAGCGCAGGCGGUUAGAUAAGUCUGAAGUUAAAGGCUGUGGCUUAACCAUAGUACGCUUUGGAAACUGUCUAACUUGAGUGCAAGAGGGGAGAGUGGAAUUCCAUGUGUAGCGGUGAAAUGCGUAGAUAUAUGGAGGAACACCGGUGGCGAAAGCGGCUCUCUGGCUUGUAACUGACGCUGAGGCUCGAAAGCGUGGGGAGCAAACAGGAUUAGAUACCCCGGUAGUCCCUGUCUCUUAUACA
rnacentral:rRNA from 1 species